UCCCUCUUUUUUGGAAUUUUCCACUGUGAGCCUACAUCCUUGGACACAGAUGUGUGUUCCUACGGGCCUCAGUACUACAGCCCAAAAGCUGAAGGCAUCAUGCUGGCCCCAGUGCUGAAGGCCCUUACAUAGCAGACCACCCUCAGCACCAGUGGUGACGGAGCAGGAAGUCUCCUCAGCCCUAAAGCCACCAGGCAGCGUUGCAGGCAGGAUGCAGGCCAUAGCCUGGCAGUGGGAGAGGGUGUGAGAUGCGUGCAUCUACCCACUAGGGAAGAAAACAGCUUGUUUCAGGCAGAAGAGGACAUGGCAAGCCUGACCUAAAUCUGCGAUGGCUCAGGUGCAGCAGACUGGAAACACAGUGGCAGCUCCAGAUAAAUUAAAAAUGGGGCAGGCUUUUGUUGGAUUGUGG
ensembl:lncRNA